rnacentral:lncRNA from 1 species
GCUCAAGUGUCCUGUUGACACUGGUCCUGCUUUGUUCACAGACAGCAAAGGUGAAUCCAUGCCCUGCACAGUUGGAACAGCCCAUACCCCAGGGGAGCCCCCAUGGGGCGCAGACUGUUCAGCUUUUGUGCUGGUUUUCUUGGCCCUCAGGCCAACCAAGCGACGGGAGGCAAGCGUAGCAGGCAUUCUUCCUCCCCUGGGUUCUCAGAAAUGGAUAAACCAACACAUGAGACCCACAGCCACCCUGGCGUAUUUGCAGGGAGUGCUUACUAUGUGCCAGACAGUUUGCUCCUCUACAGAUAAAACCCUGGGAGCUUCUCCCUGCAGCCCUGCGACAGGGGUGGCUUUCUAACUCCCACCCCUCCACUCCCUUCCUUCCUUCCCUUUCUGCUUCCUUCCUUCCUUCUCCCAGCUUUCCACCUUUGAUUCCAAAAGUCAGUCCCAGGGCAGUGGCAGGGGGCAGCAGGAUUGCUGGCCCUCAGGGUACCUGUCUAGGGCAGGAGGGAAGGGCCCUGGGAAGUUAGGAUCAUGGCCCGGCUGUCUAGGAGGACCCAGGGGACCUGACUCAGGCAGAGCAGCAAAGGGAACAAGGCAAGUGCAGAGAUACUGGACCCAGGGAAGGGCAUUGACUCAUGUGGGGCACUGGCCUGAGCAGGGAAGCCCUUCUGGCUGGGAUUCCAAGAAGGAAUAUUUCUCAGCCAGUCCCCAGUUUGACACCUCCAAAAAUUAAUGCCAGAGGCCCCCUCAGCAAAGCCUGGGGCACGAUAGGCGCACCAUCAAGGAGCAUCAAAUCAAACUGACCAGGAACUCGAGGAACGUCGCUUCCUCCAACACCUGAGAAAACAGGAGGCAAAGCCGGGCCAGGUCUUAUGGAAAGACUGGGAGAACCAGGGAGCCCAGAACAUCUGAAAGAAGGACUUCAGGACCUAGCCCUGAAGGAGCUAGGUUCAGGUGCUGAAAAGAAGCCGCCAGUGCUGGGAGGUGGGGCUCUACUGGAGUAAUAUCUCCUGAGCUGCAAGUAGCUGCACUCCCAUGUUCCUGUGUGUCCACAGAGCCACUAGGCUCAGGCGGAUACUCUGCUUCUCACAGGUCAGCCAUUCAACCCUCCUGGCCACCAUGAGGCAGGAAUCAGCACCCCCAGCUCUGUUCUUUUGAAGCAACACCACUGAGAGAAGGGACCCUGUGAGUCACAGCUUUCUAGGCAUUCCGUUUGUAAGGAUGUGUGUGGCGAGGAAUGGAAACUGGAACUGAGGCAAAGCAGAGACCAGCCUCUUCCUCACAGCAUCUUUGCCUUGCUUUGUGUGCUUGAUCUUGGAUUUCCAGCCUCCAGAACUGUGAGAAGUACAUGUCUGUUGUUUCUAAGCCACUGCGUCUAUGGUAUUCUGUUCCAGCAGUCCAAACUAAGACAGGAGCCCCAGUCUUGCCCAGAGUGAGAGAGGUACUCUCCCCUUCCUUCUGCCAACUCUCAGAUCACACAGGGGUGAACUGAAAUUCCUGCUCAGGUCAUGCAAGGGUGGACUGGAAAUUCCAUCCUCCUAUUUUGUAAGUACCUUCAAACUAUAAAAAGCAUUUUGCAAGCACCUUCAAAAGGUUUUUAAAACUUUCCAAAAAGAAAUGUAAAUGUGGGCGAAUGUUUUUUUGAUCCAGGAAACAUGCAUAAUGGGACUUUUAAGAAAGGGUCACUUGGUGUCCCCUCCUUUGAUUUUAAGGAAGAGAAAGGGCUCUUUCCCCCCUGCCCAUUGGAUGGGAAGACAAGGCUUUCCUCUGUAUGAGAGCUGCACACUCCCCCAAACACCACCAACUCUUAGCUCUCUCCAGUCUUCUUAUAUUGACCAGGAAGGUGGGACUUCCAUCCACAGGCCCCAGCAACAGUGAGCAGUGCCACGUGUACCCAAGGUGAACAUGUUGCAUGCAGGGGAUGGUGCCUGAGUCAGGGCUGCCAACUGAGUGUGCAGGGCAGAUGUAUCUGUCCAAGGAGGUAUGCACUGAACUCUGCUGUCAUUUUAAGCUGGUAGGCCAAUGGUUUCUUCCCGUCUGGACAGAAUGUGCCUUCAUGAGGGGCUGUGGAUAACUGUGAUCACAUGAAACUGUUGGACGAGCUGAUCUGGACAACCUAGGGGCAGAUGAGAGUGAAUUAUUGUGCUUUACAGUACUUUUGAAGAAAGGCAGUUUUACGACUUUCAAAUAGAUAUGGUAAAUGGGAACCAUGUGUGACCAGCAGAGGCCCUUGGGGAACUGCUUCAAGGACCAGCUAAGAAUCAGCUAUAACCAGCAAAGCACUUGUUUAUAUGUGAAUGAGCGAGCUUCACAUGUGUUUUAAAAUGUCUUGUUUGAAUGUCUCUCCUGACACCAUUUUCUUACUACCUUUUUUGUACUUCCACGAAGAAAGGGUUGGUUCAACAAAGGCUAACAUCCCCCCAGCCAUAUCCAAAUUAUUACAAACCUCAAAUGCCCACUUCCCCACAAUCAAAGAUGUUUGCCUGAGUUGGCAGCUCAUGAGGAAGCUUGCAUUUCACAGCAGGAAGAAGGGUUUAGCCAAAAUUUCCACAUGGAGACAACCUUGAUCCCAACCCAAACCCAUCUCAUGAUACUCAUCUCCAGACUUGCUCAAAAAUAUUUGAGGAACUUAGCUGAGUUUAAAUACUCAAGGGAGAAAGAUGGAAAGUUGAAGCCUCCCUGGUGAACUUCGACCUGGUACAGGUUUUUAAACAGUGAUACUUAUCCAGUGACUACUGUGUAUGUGCCCCCAUGGGGGAUGCUCUAAUGAACAUGUCCUCCAGGAAAAUUGAAUCUUGUGGAUUUCAGUUGGUGAGAGGGGACAUGCAUACAAACCAUGGCACAAGGCAAAGUGAAGGUAAUGCAACGGAAUAGAAAUAAACAGCACUCCACAGUGGGGCAAGAGAAUAUUACUUCCAGCCAGAGAACCACAAGAGACUCUAUGAGGGAGAUCACCUGUGGUUGUAGAUGUGCAUUCUACCAUCCAGCAGUUACACUUCUAUAUGGUAGAAACUUUUGCAGGUGAACUCAAGGAAAUAUGCACAAAGACAGUGCAGCUUUCUAGGUAGUGUCAAAAAAUUAGAAAUAAUCCAAAUAUCCACUAAUAGAUGAAAGGAUGAAUAAAUUGAGAUAUUUUCAUACAAUGAAACAUUAUACCUAGGUUGAAGUGAACGUACUAGAGCUCGAUGUAUCUACAUGGAAAAACCUAGAUAACCAUUUUGGUCAACAAUUAAAAAAAUGCAGAAGAAUAUUUACAAAGAUGGCAUUAUGUAAAUUUUAAACUCAUGAAUUGACAUACUCCUUAUGUGGAAAAUGCAUCCGUACAUAGGGGAAAAAGAUACCCACUCAUUUCAGAAUAUUGAUCACCUUUGGAGACAGAAGGAGGGGUAUGAGAUAAGGAAGGGGCAUAAAGGGGACCUCAGAUAUACCAUUACUUCCUUUCAAUUUUUUAAAUUAAAUGUGAUUAAAUGUAAACAUUCUUAAAGCUAAGAAGUAGGCAGAUGGGCUUUUGUUACAUGAUUCUUUAUUUCUCUGUAUGUUUGAAAUAAAUUCAUUCAUUAAGAAAAUGAGGUCUUUCAUUCUUCUAGAAAUACUGAGUAAAAUAUUACAUCUUUUUAAAUGCGAAGCUGAGCUUUCAAGAAAGUAAACAGAAUUAAUCUGGAGGAAAAAACAAAGAAGUAACUAAAAAUCAAAAUUUUAACUGUGGUGAGUGAUGUUGUAGAGACUGGUGGGGGCAGGGAGUUACUGGCCCUGAUAACCAGAGAGCAAAUGGCUAAAGUUAAGAUAUUCACAUAAAGGCAGGACUAUACUCCAGGUGGACGGCAGAGUCGGGGCCUGGGGGGACCUACCUCUGGUACACGGACAACCUGUAAGCUUACUGGUCUUAUAGUCCAGGUACCGAGGAAAAAAAUCCUAUCCUCAGGGUAUUUGUAGAAAACAAUAAGCAGCAACUAUUUAGCAUCACAGAUGCCUGAGAUAGUGACAACAGAUGGGGCAAACAAGAGACUGG